AACGAACGCUGGCGGCAUGCCUAACACAUGCAAGUCGAACGAAGCCUUCGGGCUUAGUGGCGCACGGGUGCGUAACGCGUGGGAAUCUGCCCCUUGCUUCGGAAUAACAGUUAGAAAUGACUGCUAAUACCGGAUGAUGUCUUCGAACCAAAGAUUUAUCGGCAAGGGAUGAGCCCGCGUAGGAUUAGGUAGUUGGUGGGGUAAAGGCCUACCAAGCCGACGAUCCUUAGCUGGUCUGAGAGGAUGAUCAGCCACACUGGGACUGGGACACGGCCCAGACUCCUACGGGAGGCAGCAGUGGGGAAUAUUGGACAAUGGGGGGAACCCUGAUCCAGCAAUGCCGCGUGAGUGAUGAAGGCCUUAGGGUUGUAAAGCUCUUUUACCAGGGAUGAUAAUGACAGUACCUGGAGAAUAAGCUCCGGCUAACUCCGUGCCAGCCGCCGCCGUAAAAC
rnacentral:rRNA from 1 species